AUUGAACGCUGGCGGCAUGCCUUACACAUGCAAGUCGAACGGCAGCACGGGUGCUUGCACCUGGUGGCGAGUGGCGAACGGGUGGGUAAUGCAUCGGAACGUACCUUAUCGUGGGGGAUAACGCAGCGAAAGUUGCGCUAAUACCGCAUACGCCCUGAGGGGGAAAGCGGGGGAUCGAAAGACCUCGCGCGAUUAGAGCGGCCGAUGCCUGAUUAGCUUGUUGGUGGGGUAAAAGCCCACCAAGGCGACGAUCAGUAGCUGGUCUGAGAGGACGAUCAGCCACACUGGGACUGAGACACGGACCAGACUCCUACGGGAGGCAGCAGUGGGGAAUUUUGGACAAUGGGGGCAACCCUGAUCCAGCAAUGCCGCGUGAGUGAAGAAGGCCUUCGGGUUGUAAAGCUCUUUUGUCAGGGAAGAAACACCGGCUCUAACACAGUCCGGGAAUGACGGUACCUGAAGAAUAAGCACCGGCUAACUACGUGCCAGCCGCCGCAGUAA
rnacentral:rRNA from 1 species